AAUAAUUUUGUUGUAAAUUCUUAGCUGCCUUUUAUACCUCUGAGGACUACGAUUUAAUUUGAUUUCAGAGUUGAGUUAGCUAUAUCAUCUUUCUAUCAAAUUGUUUGCAUUGCAGAUGCCAUUAUAUAUUUGAUACAUCUUAUGAAUGUCUAAGAGCAGAGCUGAUGUCUCAAUGAUGCAGCCACACAGUAUAAUCAUUAAAAAACAAUUAACAACGUGGAUUUUCUAAUAAAAGCCGUCUUAGAAGCAAGAUUUUUUAAGAUGGUUCGCUCGUAAAAACCAUCAUAGAAAGUCUAGUUUCCAAGAAGAUUUUAACAAGAAAAUUGUCUUAGAAAAAUAAUUAAAAAUAUUAAUCUGUAGGCAAAAAUCAUCUUAGAAGUGAGAUUUUCUAAGACCGUCUUCUAGUUUCUAAGAUGGUGCUUUUUAGAAAAACUUUCUUAAAAAAGUAGAACUUGUAAGAUGGUUUUUAGAAAGUUAUGUUUCUAAGAUGAUUUUCUCGUAAAAAUCGUCUUUAAAUGUUAACUUUUUUAAUAUUAUUUGCCAAAAAUUAAAGAUUCUAAAACGACUUUGUAAAUUUCUUUUACAAAAUUGACGUAGAAUCUAACAUUCACUGAUAUGAACCUUCAACCAAUAGAGGAAGCAACAGAGAAAGCAGGAAGCAAUAUAGCUAAACAGGGGGUGCAAGAAGAAAAGAAGCCCAAAAGAAAAAUCACAAAACCAACUUACCUCAACGACUACGUGUGAGGAAGGUGUAGUGAGGCCAGCUUCUAGAAUAUCCUUGGCUUGAUUGUGGUCUGCUAGCAGGGGACAGAAGUAUCAAAUCCGUUAUCAAAAUGUUUUUGCUAGGAAUCAUUCUAUUUUUAGGAAGUAUUAUAUAUAGCAAUGUAAAUAUCAAGCAAAGGGUAGAAAUGAAAUAACUAUUUACCUUCCUCUUAAGCUGUCUUCUUCCUUUUCCUUUAUCUUUGUGCUGGAGGUCCCUGGUUCCUCGAAAAACCAGCUUCUGUGAUCAUAACAAUUGGUGCUCUCGUUGAUUGCCAUCCAUGGCUGACUCACCCAAUCCUCCCCACCUCGCUGAUGUCCUCGCUCGUUUAGGAGACACCAUGCACACCAUGUCUCUGAAACUGGACGACAUCCUCACCCGUCUUACCCCUGUUUCUCCUUCCAUAGCCAACUCCAUACCCAUUCCUUCCAACUCCACUCCUGUACCUACAACAACACAUAAAAUGAAACUCGAUAUUCCAAGGUUUGAUGGCACAAAAACACUUGAUUGGAUCUUUAAGAUCAACCAGUACUUUGAAUAUCAUAACACACUAAAAAAGGAUCACCUCACCAUAGCCUCCUUUUACAUGGAAGGUCGAGCUCUCACUUGGUUCUAGUACAUGACAAGCAACGCUCAAUUUACAUCAUGGCCAACAUUUCUGCAAGCUCUGCAAACGAGGUUUGCGCCAUCUCAGUAUGAUGAUCCAACAGGCACAUUGUUCAAGUUAACACAGAAGGGAACAAUAGCAGAAUACCUAUCGGAGUUUGAGGACUUGGCGAACAGGAUUAUCAGCUUGCCACCGCCAUUCCUCUUGGCUUGCUUCAUCUCGGGCCUGUCCUCGGAAAUCCACCGAGAGGUACAAGCGCAUCAGCCUCUCACCCUGGUUCAGGCCGCCGACCU
rnacentral:lncRNA from 1 species